GACAGAGGCCUCAAGCGUUAGGCGGAAUCACUGGGCUUAAAGCGUGUGUAGGCGGAUCGUUAAGUGUCUUGUGAAAUCCCACGGCUCACCCGUGGAACGGCUGGGCAUACUGGCGAUCUUGGGCCAACUAGGGGCAACUGGAACAAGCGGUGGAGCGGUGAAAUGCGUAGAUAUCGCUUGGAACGCCCAAGGUGAAACCAGGUUGCUGGGGUUGUGCCGACGCUGAGACACGAAAGCCAGGGGAGCAAACGGG
rnacentral:rRNA from 1 species